CUGGGUUACGGAGAUAUGGUGCCUUCAACGAUAAUGGGUAAAAUAGUGGGAGGAAUCUGUUCACUUUCCGGAGUGUUGGUAAUCGCUCUACCGGUUCCCGUUAUCGUUAGCAAC
rnacentral:sRNA from 14 species